rnacentral:rRNA from 1 species
CGGGAGGCAGCAGUGAGGAAUAUUGGUCAAUGGACGAGAGUCUGAACCAGCCAAGUAGCGUGAAGGAUGACUGCCUUAUGGGUUGUAAACUUCUUUUAUAUGGGAAUAAAGUGAGCCACGUGUGGCUUUUUGUAUGUACCAUACGAAUAAGGAUCGGCUAACUCCGUGCCAGCAGCCGCGGUAAUACGGAGGAUCCGAGCGUUAUCCGGAUUUAUUGGGUUUAAAGGGAGCGUAGGCGGACUAUUAAGUCAGCUGUGAAAGUUUGCGGCUCAACCGUAAAAUUGCAGUUGAUACUGGUCGUCUUGAGUGCAGUAGAGGUAGGCGGAAUUCGUGGUGUAGCGGUGAAAUGCUUAGAUAUCACGAAGAACUCCGAUUGCGAAGGCAGCUUACUGGACUGUAACUGACGCUGAUGCUCGAAAGUGUGGGUAUCAAACAGGAUUAGAUACCCUGGUAGUCCACACAGUAAACGAUGAAUAGGCGCUGUUUGCGAUUUACGGCAAGCGGCCAAGCGAAAGCAUUAAGUAUUCCACCUGGGGAGUACGCCGGCAACGGUGAAACUCAAAGGAAUUGACGGGGGCCCGCACAAGCGGAGGAACAUGUGGUUUAAUUCGAUGAUACGCGAGGAACCUUACCCGGGCUUAAAUUGCAUCUGAAUAAUUUGGAAACAGAUUAGCCGUAAGGCAGAUGUGAAGGUGCUGCAUGGUUGUCGUCAGCUCGUGCCGUGAGGUGUCGGCUUAAGUGCCAUAACGAGCGCAACCCUUAUCUUUAGUUACUAACAGGUCAUGCUGAGGACUCUAGAGAGACUGCCGUCGUAAGAUGUGAGGAAGGUGGGGAUGACGUCAAAUCAGCACGGCCCUUACGUCCGGGGCUACACACGUGUUACAAUGGGGGGUACAGAAGGCAGCUACACAGCGAUGUGAUGCUAAUCCCAAAAGCCUCUCUCAGUUCGGAUUGGAGUCUGCAACCCGACUCCAUGAAGCUGGAUUCGCUAGUAAUCGCGCAUCAGCCACGGCGCGGUGAAUACGUUCCCGGGCCUUGCACU